UGAGUAACCUGCCCUUAACUCUGGAAUAACAGCUGGAAACAGCUGCUAAUACCGGAUACGACCUUCGAUGGCAUCAUCCGAAGGUGGAAAGCUCCGACGGUCAAGGAUGGGCUCGCGGCCUAUCAGCUUGUUGGUGAGGUAACGGCUCACCAAGGCUUCGACGGGUAGCCGGCCUGAGAGGGCGACCGGCCACACUGGGACUGAGAUACGGCCCUGACUCCGUACGGGAGGNAG
rnacentral:rRNA from 1 species